ACUGGAAAUGCUGUUUGGUCUAUGAUGCCAAAGAGAGGGGUAACGUUUAUGUGGGCCUUGUUACCUUGUUCCUAAAUGAACAAAGAGAGGAAGGGAAAAUGGGGUUCUCUGUUCCUCUUCCCCUGACUGUGGUAAUGGAUCCAGGAUUGGAGGUCNNNNNNNNNNAAAAAGGGAAAGAGGAAGUGGAGCAGCAGAAGCUCAGGGUGGGGGCCUGGGCCUGGCAGGUGGGGAUGCCCCUGUGUGUUCACCUGUGUGUGUGCAGGCAGGGAGCCACCAUCCUGACAGUACCAAGAUGCUCUCUUGUCCUAGGGGAGGGACCCUAGAAGAGUAGGCUGGGCCAUGGGAUAUUGUUUCUAGUCUCAGGUUUGGAGGAACAUGGGGAGAAGAGCAAAUCCAGCAUGAAAUGGGUCUGCUCCUGUCUUCUGGCCAAGGUGUCCCUCUUAGUGUGUGUGGGAGGGUGGGGGGCAUGGAAUCCAUUACAGAGGGAGCCAGCGCUUCCUGAGCACUCCAUGCUGAAAGUCUGGUAUUGACGGACUAGGAAGAGGCAAAGAAUCAUGCCCAUCAGUCAUCUGAGCCCUGUUGCAGCUGAGAUUUGCUCAUCCACAAAUGCUGCCUGGACCAACCCUGACUCUUCAAGUUCCUGUAUGUAGCACACAUCAUUCUUGCAGGAGUGGUGUAUCACUAUUUCCAGAUGUCUGUGGGGAAAAUAGCCCCUGAGAUUGUGGCGGAGUCAUCACAGCCCAUAGGGAAGACCUUAAGGCCUGUGUGGGGGAUGAUGAUGGAUAAAUGCUACCCUGAAACCACUCAGGACAUAAGCCCCAGACCAACAGGAAGACAGAAUGAUUCUGCCCCCAAGGAGGAGACCAACACCUUGCCUCAGGAGGAAGGGCAGGAAAAGCAAAAGGUCCAACAGGAAGUUGCUGAAUAUCCAUCUGGGGCUUCUGUGAUAGCAAGGAGGAAAGGCUAUGGGGCUGGGCCCCUCAGCUCCUGCGAAAGGAAAGUUCUGGGAGGGCUGGUUUCCUGCCCCUGACACUCCCAAGAUGCAGAGCCUUGAAUGAGAAGGGAUCUAAUAAACCCUGGAGUUCCUGCCUCUACUGGUCCAGUGCCUCCUUUCAGGGGCCCCACAGCUGCUCAAACAAGCCCCAUCUGCCUGCAUCUGCACAUUCUCGACAGCUCCAGGGACACUGCUUCCUGCCCAGACUUGUCCCCCUAGUGGACACUCUGCAAGUGGCCCGUGUAGGACCUGGCAACUCUCUGACUCAGUGCCAGGUACCAGGCCAUGGCCUAGCAUGCUGCAAGCUGGGGAGCUCCCUGUCCCAAGGGCACUUACUAAAGUGGUUAUGGAGACCCUAGUUGAGAUGCUGCAGGGUUCUUGGGAGAAGAGGCCUUGGGUCGCUUCUGCUCUGUCUGGAGUUCCCUGUCCCAGGCUGUCUCAUGAACAGGGAAGCAGAUGGUACUUACUCAGCCUUGGGUGCUGUCUCCAUGGCAGAACAUGCCAUGAGGGAUGGGGACAGAGAUGAAAGAAACUGGUUCUUGCCCUAAGUUGGGUGGACUCCAGGACAACAAGGGUCGUAGGCCCAGAAGUCAGAGGAGGAAGACAGGCAUUGACAACCAUCUGGUGCAAACUCCUCAGUGGCAAAAGGGCAGCAGAAGCCCAGGGUGGAAGGGAGGGCCCCAGAGUUUGUGCAGUGUAAUGGCACAGCGAGGUCUAGAAGCAGGGUCUCUAUCUCUCUGCAGCCCACCUUACCUACUUCUCUGCCUCCCUCGUAGUCACACGGGUUGCACCCUCUCCCUAGGCCCCCACAGGCUCAUCCCCUAAUCUGACCUGGCCACUUAGAAGGUGGAGCCCUGGCCUGCAGCCCCAAGUGUCCUCUAACUCUAGCCAGGCCUGAGAAGCAACUCUACACUACAAGGGGCCUGGACAUCCACAUCUCUGAGGGGCCAGGAACUAAGACCAAUCUUGUCUUCUAGUGACACAGGGAGGUGGCUCACUCCUGGGCUCCCUCCAGGCCUUCCCAUGAAACUUCUGACAGAGCCCUGGUGUCAAUCCCUGCCUUCCUGAUUUCUCCACCUCUCUGGGGUGUCAUAUAAGAAGUUAGAUUACAGAUCUGAUGCCUGGCUGAGCACUGGCACCUGGUGUGUUGUAGGUGCAGUUGGAGCUGAAACCAGGGCCUCCAGCUGGAGUCCUCCUAUUCCCCACCCACCCAGACACCACUGACCCCUCUUGGCAGCCAUUCUGAGCC
rnacentral:lncRNA from 1 species